rnacentral:lncRNA from 1 species
AGGAAAACGCCGCCCCGCUCCUCCCGACGUGCCCGAAAACAGACUGGCCGAGCUUGACGGAUGGACAGACGGAUGGACAGAUGGACAAACCGGCUGGGUCACCCCCUUUCCUCGUGGGUGGGUGGGUGGGUUUGAGGGGGGUUGUCCCCACGGCUGCUGGGGUGGGAUGGGCCUGAUCCGGCCCUCUGGGCGUCGUUAAAUGGAAUGACCUGGGUGCUGUCCGUCUGUCCGUCUGUCCACCUCUCUUCCUGGCCGUCCGUCCAGCUGGCUGUCCUGCUGUCCGUCUGCCUAGCCAUGUGGUCAGUCUGUCCGUUUAUCUGCCUGCCGGUCCGGCCGCCUGUCCGUCUGUCCAUCUAUCCGAUUGCCCGGCCACCCGUCUGUCUGUCUGUCUGUCUGGUCAUGCAACUGUAAGUCUGCCUGUCCGUCUGUCCACCCAUCUGGCUACCUGCCUGUACGUCUGUCCAGCUGUCUGUCCGUCCAUCCCCCCCCCCGCCCCCCCAUCCCGUUGUCCCCCCGCCCUCCUUCCCCCCCCCCCUCAUCCAUUUCUUUCUCUCCGUCCGUCUGUCCAUCCAGCUUUGUCUAGCUCUCCGUCUGUCCAUCUCUGCCCAUCCACCGGGCUCUGUCCAUCUGUCUGUCCAUCUGUACAUCUGUAUCUCCGUCUGACUGUCCUUCCAGCAAGCUGGACGGCCGUCUGUCCCUCUGUCCCACCAUCCAUCUAUCAACCAUUUAUCUGUCCGUCCAUCUGUCCAUCUGCAUCAAGAUGGAUGGAUCUGUCCGUCCAUCUGUCCACCUACAUCAAGAUGGAUGGAUCCACCUAGACCUACAGAUCCAUCUGUCCGUCCACCUCCCUCUCCAUCUGUCCGUCUGUCCGUCCACCCUCUGCUCCUACUACGCAAGUAGACUUCACAUCACGCACACGCAUGCACACGCGUGUGUAAGGAUGUGAGAUUUGGCACAACAUUUGGGAUGCCACCUCCGAGGAGGGGGGACAUUUUGCAGCUCCGGGAGGUCCCCGAGGAUGUCACCAGGCUGGAGGUCCUCGGGGACCUACGUGCCACCUUCUCCUGGUCGCGCCUCCUGAUGAGUAACGCCGCGGAUGCGGGUGAACGAUGGGCGAGGCUACGACCUGGUGCCAACCCCACCGAGCCCUGCGAGUCGGCUCCGGGUCACCCAGGGCAUCUCCACCCUCUGCUGCACGGGGACCUCGGCGAUGCCCAGCCCUUCCCUGGGCGGGUUUGGUGCUGGACACCAGCCAGGAUCCCAGCAGAUCAAGCAACCGGUGCCGUAAUCCCACCAGAUUUCCCUCCUCCACAUGAAACCUGUCCAAGCUCCAGCACGUCCUGGAAGGACCCGUCCUUACGGCUCCUGGAAGGAUUUGGGGCACCCAGGGGUCCUCCAGUGCCACCCCCACCUUGGCCAUCCUUGGCGUUGCAGAGGACCAGAGCCGUGAUUCGGGCGAAGGAACCUCUUUUGCAGAGCUUUUGGGAAAGGAGCUGAGGCUGCCAGCAGCUCGCGGGGCAAUUAGAGCCCCUGCCAAGCAAUUAAGGGUGGAGAGGCCCAGGAGCUGAGCCCUGACGAAAGGAAAGGCCGGGCGGGGAUGAAUCACCUUUCGGAGAUGCUGAUCUCGCUCUCUGCUGGUGGCAGAGGAAGCCCGGGGCUGGGUUUGGUCCCAAACCCGGAGUUGAACCCAGAGCAACCGUU